rnacentral:rRNA from 1 species
UACGUAGGGGGCUAGCGUUGUCCGGAUUUAUUGGGCGUAAAGAGCGUGUAGGCGGCCAGGUAGGUCUGCUGUGAAAACUCGAGGCUCAACCUCGAGACGUCGGCGGAAACCAUCUGGCUAGAGUCCGGAAGAGGAGAGUGGAAUUCCUGGUGUAGCGGUGAAAUGCGCAGAUAUCAGGAGGAACACCGGUGGCGAAGGCGGAUCUCUGGGCCUUACCUGACGCUCAGGCAUGAAAGCUAGGGGAGCGAACAGG